CCCGCCUGAAGAUUUGAGUGCGUGGUUCCGGCCCUUCUGCCUGGAGUGUCCUUGGAUUCUGGGAAAUACACCUGACUAGGCCCCAGGGUCACGAUAGAUAUGGGAGUGAAGGUUCUGGACCACAGAGGAGAAGUUAACUGUGACUGGAGAGCCAAGGAGGGCUUGAUGGACAAGGAACCAUCUGGAUUGGGUCUUGAAGGCAAUAAACAAAAAAUCCUCAUCAACACUGUGCUCCAAUGGGCACUGCCUAUCGACUGGAGAAGGGAGCAGCGUGGCCAACAGCCUCCGGACUGGCAGCGUGUGUUCAGGCUUCCCUGGGAGGCCCAGGCCCCAUUCUUGCCACAGAGACCACCCCAGAGGCCUCGGGGAGGACAGGCUUCUUUACCAUGUCAAGUGGUUAUUUCCACAUUGACCCAUUUGACUCUGUAAAUCACUUUCUUGAAUGCGAGAUAGUAAAGGGCAAAAGUUAUUUCUUUCCUAUUCUUUUAAUUGCCAGGAUCAAUAGGCACAAUUGAUUUGAAUUGAGAAAUAGUCUCCAGGUAACAUUUAGGGACAAUCAUUGAGAUCGGCACAUUGAGAGUGACUGUGUGCUGCCCUCCGAGGGGACUGCCUCUGGGGUUCUGUCCACCGCAGCGAAGCCAGGGGGACGGCCUCUGCGCGGUCAGUUGGAUAGGCUGUGUCUGCUUCUGCUUGGUUGAGGUCAUGGGAGGGUCAGGCCCUGAAACUACGCUGGAGGGCGGGGGUCUGUGCUCCACGCCUCAUGGCCCGGUGCUGGGGAGAGGUCUCUGAGCAGCGGCCGGCCCCCGGGAGCGCCCAGGCUGACUUGCAUCUCCUUGGCUCUCUCACUCAGGAGCUCCACUGUGAUGGGGUCUGCCCUCUGAGGCCCCUUUCUGCGGGAGUUUGCUGCCAUCACAACUGGAGGGGACAGCGACCCUGUCCUUUGGGUCUCUGUUCUGGGUGGUGUGAGGCAGGGACCAUGUGAUCAGCCUGUGCAUAUGACCCCCCUGGUGGCCUGCGCCUUUCUGUAACUAAUGGGAGGAACGGUUGGUCUCAGAAGAGAAGCCGGUUUCCAGCCCAAUACUUGAGGAGUGAUAUUAAAGGGAGAAAGAAAUUCUGUUGACUCCUAAUAUCCUACCUUGGUUAGACAGCUCGUCAAUAGGAUUGGGGGACAGGAUUGAUCUUUCGCUUAUAAUGCAGAACAUUCAAUGGAUAGCAAAAGUGCUUUUAAAAGGGGCCCAUGGAACACUUUGAAAAUAUUAAUUAGUGUGUUGAAGCAUUCUGCACAGCAUAUCAUAGUGAAACUGCUCCAGGGGGUUGCUUGAGAUGAAUUAUUAAUAAGCAUCCCUCUCCACCCUGCACCUCCCACCCUGAUUUGAUGGGAGUGGGUGUGGGUUGGGUGUCUGUUAGAUGCAUUCACUGCUCAUUUCAUGCAAAUGGGGCAGUUGGGGUCACCUAUGUUUGGGGCCCGUGUGUCUGGAAAAGAAGACAUACCCCGAACACCAACAACACACACUGGAGGAGAGAGGCUGUGCUGGAAGUGACUGCGUUGGGUCUGGUUCUUGAUAUUCCAAUUGGAAACCAAAUGGGUAUGGCUUUUGGGGGUGAGUUUAAGGUUUCUUAAGGAUUCACGCCAGAGAGUGAGGGUGACAAGGCUCAGGAAGCAGCAGCUUUUCAGAACGAUCAGAGAAACCUGGGAGGCUUCUUUCUAGAAUCCUCGGACACCCGCUUUGUCUGUAUCACGGGUGGGAGGAACCACCAUUCCCUUCCCAACUGAUCUGAGUGGUGGCCCGAAUUCGCCAAAGCGUAUGGAAAUACAACGCCCCCUAAACAAGUUAGUGGGCCGAUUCUGAGCUGAGAGCGAAGCCUGCCUUUUCCUGUUUUCAGAAGCAUAGAUUUGUAGAAAUAUAAACAUAUUAGGCAGGGCAUUUUGCUUUAGAAUUGUAAACUAAUUCAAUCCAGGAUCAUCGGACUACUUAUAGUUCUGUAGAAGUGAACAAUCAGGAUCGGUGGGUUAAUCUAGCUAUUGUGAGCCUUCCUUACCUUGGAAAUAAGCCAAGGCAUGAAUUCACAGGAAUGCCUCCGACAGCCCCUCGUUUGUCUGCUUUUGUUCCUUCCCUCCCCCAACUCAUUUCACACUUUGCACUUACGGACUCCACGUCUUUUUUCUUUAAAAAAAAUAUGUACAGAUGUCUUGGCUUGCUGGAAAACACUCAAAAACUCUGUCUGUAAUGAUGGAGAUUUUCGACAUUAUUGGAGAUGUAGACCAUCAGAUGAAAUGGUAAAUUUUCCACUUUAAUUUUAUGGGUGUUCACUGUUUUCAGGAUAUAAAAGAAAUGGCCUUUCCAGUUUAAAAAUGAAUUAGUCAACUGGACUUCUUUGUUCGAUAGGUUUUACAAGGAUAACUCUGGUCUCUUGGGCCAUACAAAUGUGCCUUUCUCCCCCAAAAGUUUGAGGUGUCAUAUUGGACUCCUUUGUGUAACUCUCCAGGGAAAACCGCAAACCCUAAGCUUAACUGGAAUUUUCGUGUUGACAACUUCCUGCAAUUAUCCUAGGAGCCGAUCGUUAGCAGUGGACUGUGUUCAGGCAGGGAGGGACGCAGUAGCCGGGGACGCUUCUGAAACACCACCCAGACGCCUCUGCCUUUUAUGGAGUUAAGAGCCUGACAAAUUUUCCUGAGGAAGCCGUCCUCGCACACCGCGGACGUUAUUGGCACCACGUCCUCUUGAGCGGGUUCUGUAGCCAACUGAUUAAUAUUUUAAGCAUGUAGACGACCUCCAGACCUUCUGAGUCAAAUUUCUCUCUCUCCAUCUUUCUUUCUCUAUGUCUGUCCCUCCUGGAAAAAAAAAAAGACUUCUCAGCUAAAGGUCUCUAUGAAAUUUCACUUCCCUGGUGCGAUAUUAUUAUUUUAUUCACUUCAUUUCGUCAGAAUGAAGCCUAGAUUUAAAAGAGAAAAAUUAGCGCUGCCAACAGUGAAAGCACAAUCGGACACCCUCCCGGUGUCAUUUGGGGAGGGGUCUCCUUUUUGGAGAGCGUGACCCGGCCGGCCGUGCGCAGAACCUGCUGUCCAUCUCCAGCGCAAGCUGAGCGAAGGACGAAGAAGGGAAAGGAAAUGAGCCCUGAGAUUCUGCGGCCGUGUUCCUCACCUCACACAUGGACAAAGGAAUCUGCAGCCAGCAGCCUUGUGUGUGUGUGCGUGUGUGCGUGUGUCAGGGGGGCUUGCUAGAAAUUGCAAAGUUUUAUUUUUAUUUAUUGUUUGGUGAUGAUUUAGAUACCCCACGCUGCCAAAUCAUAAACAGAAGGAAGCCCACGUUUGGCUUUUAUCAGCUAAGAGAAUUAAGGUUAUUUUUUUCCUUGACUUUUUUUUUUUUUAACAGCCCCAGUGCCUUGGCCAGAUUCCAGUUCAGGUAAUUACAUUCUGUCUUCCUAAAUUCCCCUGUAACUCCAAUUGGGCAAGCUGCUCUUCACUUCUCUCCUAGAAGCUGCUGUGCCGGGUGCCUGGCAUCAAACGGGGUGGCAUUCCAGGAGUGGUCCCAAGGUGUUCCGCUGGAAAUGCAUUUCCAGCGGCUUCUGCAUGCAGGGCUUGCGUGCAAAUGGAAGUAGUAUUAUUUAUUGCUCUUUUCCAUCAGCAGCUGCCAACCCCGAAACUAUCUCUGAAUGACAUUUUAAAUAUGAAGGCCAGGGUCAUUAGGAUGAUGAGAUACAAGGGUCCAUUUUGUUCACCUCUAGAAUUAUUGGGUGACUGAACGGGACCGGGGACUGAAAAGAAGGAGAACACAUCUGUCACGGGAAAUAAUUCCUUUUCCACAAAACGGCUCUUUUUUUUUUCUUAUUUGUAUGUUUGCUGUCUCCCGAUUAAAAUUAAGGAGGAUUAUUGGGCGUUGUUUUUGUUUUUGUUUUUCUAGGGAUGAAUGGAAAUGGGGGUGUUUUCCAUGUGCAGGAGUAAAAUACCAUUGGCUUUUUAAAAAGUCAAUUUCUUUACAGCUGAUUUUUCAAAUAUUUAUUGAGUACCUGCCAUACACCAGACCUUGUCAGAGGGCUUUUUAGGCCACAAAAGCGCUUAUUGUUUUUAUCCUUUUCAUUAAUAUUUAUUUUAAUUAUGGAUAUUAAUGUUUUCUUCAAAAACAAUGAAAGUAAUUCCUAUAAAAUAGCAUCUGUACAGAUGACCAAUUCUGAAAUAACACGCUCGUGUUUACACAAUACGUCAUAAUGCCCUGUGUAGAUGGCUGAUGUUAAUGAAAAUAGAUUUCCCAAGAUUGACACCAAUAGUCACCACAAAAUAGAAUUUAGGAUGUGUACUGAAAGACCAGGAAGAAAUGGGAUAUAUGAAAAGCACUUUCAUUUUAAAGAUAAACACAAGAGUAAAGUGAUUCUUUUUCUAGUUGCCAGUACAGCUUCAGGAAACUGCUGCCACGGGCCUAUUGUCAAUUCUGUUUGUUUCCUGAUUCCUACUAACCCAGGAGGUGAAGGUGUGGUAGACAGUAUUUCUGAAAGAGACUGAGUUGAUGCUGUGGGCAUGCGCCAUGUUGUGCAGUCCUAGUCUUGGUCUUCCCACAUCCUGAAAGCACACAGAUCCUCCUAGCACUUUUAAUUUUUAUUUUCUGUUAGCUUUAAUUUUCCCAACUCUGCAUCCUUCCACCACGAGGUGCCAUAAAUUGAUGGUGCUAUCCAUUUACAGGUGGUGAUCAAAGCUACUCUGAGGGAACCGACGACCACGUCUGACGAUGGUCCUAUCAUCCUGUGUUUGGAUAAUAAUUUCUUUUCGCCCUCUCACUCCCCCAAUAGAGUCAUUCUUUACAAAGCGUCGAGUCCAGGCAGAUAUUAAACAACUCAGCUCAACCCAGGGAUCUCCUCUGGGCUUGUAACUCUAGUGAAUUGCAUUUUUUCCUAAUUACAGGAAAAAUAGCAAAUUGGCAAACAUCAGGAAGUGGGUACACCCCCUCUGAUUUACAAGGAAGAGUGUAGGGUGACUUUACAGCUCAGGAAUUCAGUGAAAUAAAUUUAUGGUUAGAAAAAUUCAUGUUCUUAAUGUGAUGAAGGUCCUUUAACUUUUAACACGCUUCUCCAGUUAAGCUGUGCAGGACUCACACGGAAAUGGCUGUCUACAGCUGCUGCAAAUUGAUUUAUCCCCAGAUAAUAGUCAGAGCUGCAGACCAAAUUGUUGGAAAGAAACAGUUCUUUAAUUUCGGUGUUUGGGGCUGUCUAUAUAUUGUUUAUGCAUAUUCCCGUUGUGUAUAUGAGCAGAGAUUUGUGGUGGCCUAGCUUUUCCGGGCAAUCAGGGUAAUUUCCCUCUAGCCCCGAGGGCCGGCACUGCCGAGGAUCUCUGUAUACCGCCUCCUCGCCGGGGGCUGCAGCCCACAGCAACUCCUUCCUUGGCAUUCGUGGAAUUCUUCAAAGAGUCAGGUGGUCUACGUGAGAAAUUACGGAAUCAAUGUCUAUGACAAUACUAAUUUGUGUUUGGAAAAUUAUAUUUUGAGGAUCUGCAGAAAUUGUUUGCAUUGUGAAAGUGAUGAAUUUGCUCCACUUAUGUUGUUUUCUUGGAAUGACAGAGGCAUGGCCCCAAUCCUGAUAUGUUUUGGCUUCUUUGGGGCUUCCCAGUCCAUCUCUCCAGAGGGAGCAGAGCCAGACACCAGGUACUGGGGAGACCUGUGCCUUCAUUCAGUAAAUAUUUCCUGAGCAUCUACUAUGUGCAAAGCUGUGUGUAAGGCCUGGGCGAUGGGGGUGGAUGAACCAGAUGCCACCUCUGCCCCCCUAGGGUUUGUAAUCCAUUGAGAGAAAAUAAAACAAGCAAACAGAUAAAUGCACAAAUCAUCACCAGUUGUGGAAGGUACCCCCAAAGAAAAAAUACAGGAGUUAUAAGAGAGAAUACAGGGUCACUGCUGUAGGGGGCCCCUUGAAGGUGGCGACAGGAAGGCAGAGGCAUUCAGCCCCCAGCCCUCUCUGCUACGAUUUCAGGGGCAUACCUUGCUUCUCUCGGCCAGAAGGAAUCUUGGGGAGGUGCUACUGGCCCGGGGAUGAAUCACAGGCUGGUCAUGGCAUAAGGCUCUGUGGGGUUCCGCCCAACCCUGAAGCCUCUGCCUUCUCCCAGGUUCCCAGGUCACCCUGUGUCAGCACUGGUCAGUUGGGCUCU